AUAACUUAUUAUCGUAAUUUUUUGUUACAGUAAGUAUGAGAAAAUUAAAGAGCCCCCUCUCCAGGCGGUCGUGGCAGAGUUGGUGAGGACCAUGAAGACGAUGUCGGAGCAGCUGGCGGCCGUUGAGACGGCUCUGAAAGAGAUGGCUGAUCCGCCAUACCCCUGGCUCAGGGAGCCAAAAUUCGUACCACCCAAUUAUGGGUAUGUGGUUAUGAGCCGGGGGAGGCCACCAGCUGCUCCGUCAUCUCCUCUUCAUGUGGAGGUGGAAGUGCACGUGGAGUGCCACGCCGCCCUGAAAGCCCCCUGAUGAAUCCCCCCACGAGAGAAAUCACCAAUGAAUUUAUUGAAUUGAAUCAGAUUUUAUUAUAUCAGCCUCGAAGACGAAGUACGAUGUGCGUUCUGCAAGGUGGAAAUCAUGCAUUGGAUGGAAGGCGAGGAUCCCGCCAAUGUUCA